rnacentral:rRNA from 1 species
UACAGAGGGGGCAAGCGUUGUUCGGAAUUACUGGGCGUAAAGGGCGCGUAGGCGGCCUUCUAAGUCGAACGUGAAAUCCCUGGGCUCAACCCAGGAACUGCGUCCGAUACUGGGAGGCUUGAAUCCGGGAGAGGGAUGCGGAAUUCCAGGUGUAGCGGUGAAAUGCGUAGAUAUCUGGAGGAAUACCGGUGGCGAAGGCGGCAUCCUGGACCAUUACUGACGCUGAGGCGCGAAAGCUAGGGGAGCAAACGGG